rnacentral:lncRNA from 1 species
GAAUAUCAAAAUUACUCUAUUAAUUUAAAACAAAUAAAUUUGAAAUAACUUUUACUAUUUGUGAUUAAAUUUAUAAUUUUCUUAAGAAAAUACAAAAAAAAAAUCACAUGUUUUUGUUUUGUUCUUAGUUCAUAAAAAAUCACAUGUUUUAGGUCCCCAAAAAGUUAACUGAAAUUUUUAAACCCUCGAUAAAAUCUUACGCAAUAUCUCAAAAUUUAAAUGAAUUAAUUUUAAUGUGGUUUGUUCUAGUUUUCUUUGGGGUAAGGCAUAGUCCCCUCAUGAAACUUUAAAGGCAAAUCAGCAAUAACUCUAAAGUCUUUGUUACUGUUUGAGACCACUCAUCA